AAAAAGUCUAAGUUUAGAAAUCACAAGCAAAGAAGAUUUUUAAAAAGGGGAGAGAUUUGAAAUUUAAGAAAAUGGGAGGAGAUGAAGAGACUAAUCUUAAGCAAAAAUUUAAAAGUUAAGAGUUGAAAAGAUCUGACCAAUGGGAUGCAAUCCAAUAGACAAGAAUGUCAUAUAGAAACCUAGUUUUCCUUUUGGACUUUAAAUCAAGCAAUAUCA
rnacentral:lncRNA from 1 species